AUUCUUCGUCAUUGUUCAUCUUCCACCAUUUUUUC
rnacentral:sRNA from 1 species